UACGUAGGGCGCAAGCGUUAUCCGGAAUUAUUGGGCGUAAAGAGCUCGUAGGCGGUUUGUCGCGUCUGCCGUGAAAGUCCGGGGCUCAACUCCGGAUCUGCGGUGGGUACGGGCAGACUAGAGUGAUGUAGGGGAGACUGGAAUUCCUGGUGUAGCGGUGAAAUGCGCAGAUAUCAGGAGGAACACCGAUGGCGAAGGCAGGUCUCUGGGCAUUAACUGACGCUGAGGAGCGAAAG
rnacentral:rRNA from 1 species